rnacentral:rRNA from 1 species
GUCUACAGCCAUACCACCCUGAAUCUUGUCUGAUCUCAGAAGCUAAGCAGCCUUGGGCCUGGUUAGUACUUGGAAGGGAGAUACAAUAAAAAUAAGAAUUAGCUGACU